GAGUUUGAUCAUGGCUCAGAUUGAACGCUGGCGGCAUGCCUUACACAUGCAAGUCGAACGGCAGCACGGGAGCUUGCUCCUGAUGGCGAGUGGCGAACGGGUGAGUAAUGCAUCGGAACGUAUCCUGGAGUGGGGGAUAACGUAGCGAAAGUUACGCUAAUACCGCAUAUUCUGUGAGCAGGAAAGCGGGGGACCUUCGGGCCUCGCGCUCUUGGAGCGGCCGAUGUCGGAUUAGCUAGUUGGUGAGGUAAAGGCUCACCAAGGCGACGAUCAGUAGCCGGGCUGAGAGGCUGAACGGCCACAUUGGGACUGAGACACGGCCCAGACUCCUACGGGAGGCAGCAGUGGGGGAUAUUGCACAAUGGAGGAAACUCUGAUGCAGCAAACGCCGCGUGAGGGAAGACGGUCUUCGGAUUGUAAACCUUUGUCCUCGGUGACGAUAAUGACGGUAGCCGAGGAGGAAGCUCCGGCUAACUACGUGCCAGCAGCCG
rnacentral:rRNA from 1 species